AGUGGAAAGAUGCGUCGGUAACCUUAAAAAACAACGCGUAAAACUUUCAGAUUACAGAAAGUGUGAACUAACGUAUCAAACCGUGUCGCUUUGAGAACGUCGAUCUAGACAAAGUACAGCCUAUAGCCUGUGUAAAUGUAUUUGUGGUUAUGGUAUGGCUCUUAUCAUAAACUUUCCGGCUGUGACGGUGCCUUCUUUGACUACUGGGGAAAGGGAACCGCGGUGACUGUAACAUCAGCUCAAGAAUCUGCGCCGAAGUCAAUCUUCGGCCUGUCUCAGUGUUCUUCUGAUACUGAGUUCCUCACCAUCGGCUGCGUCACAAGAGGUUUCUCCCCUGCGGACUCGCUUACUUUCAAAUGGACGGAUUCUGCUAAUAAAGAUCUGACUGAUUUCGUGCAGUAUCCAGCGUUCGGGAGUGACGGAGACUAUACCAAAAUCAGCCAUCUGCGUGUGAAAAAAAGCGACUGGAAUCCUCAAACCUCUUACACAUGUGAAGCUAAAAAUUCGAAAGGCACAAAAGAAACUAGUCCUAUGUUUAAAAAAGCGUCAACAGGUAAAGGCCCACCUAAAGUUCCAGCAGAUGAAAAGAAAUUCAAUAUUACCAUUUACAGACCUGAUAUUAUCAACAAAGACAGUGUCUCUCUGGUGUGUGAGGUCACAAGCCCUAAACCUGGUGAUGUCUCUAUCAUGUGGAAGGUGGGCAAUGAGCCUUACACUGAGAGCAGAAUCAAUGCUUCCAUCCUUCGAGAGGACUCCAUGUCUGUUCUUAGCAUCCUAACAAUCCCAAAGGAAAAAUAUGAAAAACCCCAAACCACCAUCACCUGCGCAGUCAAACACCCCAACAUGGAGAAUACAAGCGCUCCAUUACAAGUGACAACAAGCAAAAGGGAGCCACCUGAGCCAGAGAAGGGUUUUGCUCUGAACUGUAAUAAUGAUGUUCUGGAGGAGGAUGAGUUCAGAAGUCUCUGGUCCACUGCCACUUCAUUCAUCUUCCUUUUCCUCUUUUCUCUGACAUACAGUGCUGUACUCAGCCUCUUCAAGAUGAAGCAGUAAUGAUUUUAAAAAAGAACUUCUGAAGACUCCAAGGUUUCUGAUGGUGUUGAUUCUACAUAAUUUCCCUCUAUGCACACAUUUUUGAAGAUAUUGACAAAUAUGUACUCAGUGUUCACACUCAUCAAUAAAGUCUUAUUAUGUCUA